GACGAACGCUGGCGGCGUGCUUAACACAUGCAAGUCGAACGGAAAGGCCCUGCUUUUGUGGGGUGCUCGAGUGGCGAACGGGUGAGUAACACGUGAGUAACCUGCCCUUGACUUUGGGAUAACUUCAGGAAACUGGGGCUAAUACCGGAUAGGAGCUCCUGCUGCAUGGUGGGGGUUGGAAAGUUUCAGCGGUUGGGGAU
rnacentral:rRNA from 1 species